GACGAACGCUUGCGACGUGCCUAAGAAAUGCAAGUCGAACGGAUCAGCAGCAAUGCUGGUUAGUGGCGAACGGUCGCGUAACACGUGGGCAACCUGCCCUGAAGCGGGGGACAACAACUCGAAAGAGUUGCUAAUACCGCAUGUGUAUCGGGAUGGCAUCAUCCAGGAUACAAAGCCGCAAGGCACUUCAGGAUGGGCCCGCGGCCUAUCAGCUAGNGGUGAGGUAACGGCCCACCAAGGCUUCGACGGGUAGCUGGCCUGAGAGGACGAUCAGCCGGAUUGGGACUGAGAUACGGCCCAGACUCCUACGGGGGCAGCAAUUAGGAAUCUUGCACAAUGGGCGAAAGCCUGAUGCAGCGACGUCGCGUGAGGGAU
rnacentral:rRNA from 1 species